rnacentral:rRNA from 1 species
GACGAACGCUGGCGGCGUGCUUAACACAUGCAAGUCGAACGGAAAGGCCCUGCUUGCAGGGUACUCGAGUGGCGAACGGGUGAGUAAUACGUGGGUGAUCUGCCCUGCACUUCGGGAUAAGCCUGGGAAACUGGGUCUAAUACCGGAUAGGAGCCAUUUUUAGUGUGAUGGUUGGAAAGUUUUUUCAGUGUAGGAUGAGCUCGCGGCCUAUCAGCUUGUUGGUGGGGUAAUGGCCUACCAAGGCGGCGACGGGUAGCCGGCCUGAGAGGGUGGACGGCCACAUUGGGACUGAGAUACGGCCCAGACUCCUACGGGAGGCAGCAGUGGGGAAUAUUGCACAAGGGGCGCAAGCCUGAUGCAGCGACGCCGCGUGGGGGAUGACGGCCUUCGGGUUGUAAACUCCUUUCGCUAGGGACGAAGCUUUUUGUGACGGUACCUAGAUAAGAAGCACCGGCUAACUACGUG